AUUGUAACGAUUGAUCACGUCGGGGUCAC
rnacentral:sRNA from 1 species